UACAGAGGUCUCAAGCGUUGUUCGGAUUCAUUGGGCGUAAAGGGUGCGUAGGCGGCGCGGUAAGUCGGGUUUGAAAUCUCGGAGCUUAACUCCGAAACUGCAUUCGAUACUGCCGUGCUUGAGGACUGGAGAGGAGACUGGAAUUUACGGUGUAGCGGUGAAAUGCGUAGAUAUCGUAAGGAAGACCAGUGGCGAAGGCGGGUCUCUGGACAGUUCCUGACGCUGAGGCACGAAGGUCAGGGGAGCAAACGGG
rnacentral:rRNA from 1 species